AAAAACUGCUCCUAUCUCCAAAGGCAAGUUUGAAAUUCUGUUAAACUUAAAUUGCUCAGUUACUGUAGGAUCCAGACACACAUACACACACACACACAGACAGACACACACACACACAGGCGCACAUACAAGAAUUUUGGAAAAAAAAUGAGAACUAAGUGGUAAAAAGACAUAAUACAUAAAAGAGGGAAUGAAAUUUAAGAAGAUGAGAAACAACCUAAGAAUAGAAGCAGCAGAGAACAAGGAUCCGUUAAUGCACAGUCGGCUUUUGAAUUGGGAAGUCUGAAAGAGCAAAUCGCUUCUGAAGCAAAUACGCACGACAGUACUAUAGAUUUCAAGAUAAUUAGGCAUGAGAAAUGGAUGCCUGCAAGCAUAGACCUGUGAAUCUGCUUUCCUGA
rnacentral:lncRNA from 10 species